UCAAACUGGGAUUAGAUACCCCACUAUGCUUAGGCGUAAACACAAAAAAUUCAUAACAAAAUUAUUCGCCAGAGAACUACUAGCAACAGCUUAAAACUCAAAGGACUUGGCGGUGCUUCACAACCAUCUAGAGGAGCCUGUUCUAUAAUCGAUAAUCCCCGAUAAACCUCACCACUUCUUGCUAAUCCAGCUUAUAUACCGCCAUCUCCAGCAAACCCUAACAAGGAGAAAAAGUAAGCGCAAGUACACACGUAAACACGUUAGGUCAAGGUGUAGCCCAUGGAGUGGGAAGAAAUGGGCUACAUUUUCUAGUCAAGAAUAUGUACGACAAUCUUUAUGAAAAUUAAAGAUCUAAGGAGGAUUUAGUAGUAAAUUAAGAAUAGAGCGCUUAAUUGAAUAAGGCCAUGAAGCACGUACACACCGCCGGUCCACCCUCC
rnacentral:rRNA from 1 species